rnacentral:rRNA from 1 species
UACGGGGGGGGCAAGCGUUGUUCGGAAUUACUGGGCGUAAAGGGCUCGUAGGUGGCCAACUAAGUCAGGCGUGAAAUCCCUCGGCUUAACCGGGGAACUGCGUCUGAUACUGGAUGGCUUGAGUUUGGGAGAGGGACGCGGAAUUCCAGGUGUAGCGGUGAAAUGCGUAGAUAUCUGGAGGAACACCGGUGGCGAAGGCGGCGUCCUGGACCAACACUGACACUGAUGAGCGAAAGCCAGGGGAGCAAACGGG